AUGAAGGGGGGAAAAAGCCACAACUGGAUGAUAGCAAGCCUGGGCUUACGUCGGGAAAAAGAGCGCUGCCUAUUCAUGUUCAGGAGCCAGGAGAAAGGAAAGAAUAGUUACUUCCUGGGAGGAGGCGUAGGUGAUAGGAAGCUAAUCAAGGACAGGCUGAGGAUUCGAACAGCUUUAAGAGAGAAGAGUAAGGGGGACCUUCAAGGAAGAAGUGAGAUAAGCUAG
rnacentral:lncRNA from 1 species